CAAGGGGACCAGCACAUGCAUGCCAAAGUUCUGAAUCCAAAACGCGCUUUUCUCCUGCAAAGAACAGCCAUCACAAUGCCAUGAAUAUCCAACAGAAUGUUCAUAGCUGCCACCUAAAUUCAUCAUUCAAUUUGGAUGUUAUUUAUG